GGAGUGCGUGCGUGCGUGCGUGUGUGUGUGUGUGUGUGUGUGUGUGUAGUCGGGUCAGCGUCCUGGCCCCGCUCAGCCCG
rnacentral:pre_miRNA from 14 species